rnacentral:tRNA from 1 species
AAUAAAGUGGCUGAGUUAUAGGCGGUAGAUUGUAAAUCUGUAAACGAGUUAGACUCCUUUAUUA